UUUUGUAAACGGCAGGAACAAGACACAGAGUUAUCUACCCAGGUAAGAUCAUUUGAGUCCAAAGACCAGAUUCCAAAACAGGCCUCAGAUACCGUAGAGGACAUGGCCUGUUUGGGACAGCCUGAAGGCAGAAGGGGUGGGUGUAUUCUGUUGUAGGGCUUUUAAAGGAGACUUUUUGGAUCAGAAUUUAUCCUUUUUUUUUUUUAAUCUUUGGAAGCGAGUGAAUCUUCAUAGCAGGUUAUUCUCUCGAAACGAGAUUGGGUCCGAACUAUGAGGACAGGCGUCACGGAAAAAAAGUGUUUCCAUUGCACUGUGUUGUGUCCUGGCCACACACCUCCAACACACACGCACACGCACAUACACACACACGCCCUCAGAGAUGACCCUACAGCUUCUGGUCUUCCAGCUUCAGCUGUCCCAAAGGACCCCGAGCACUAUGGGUUCAGGCCAGGGCUUGGGUUUGGUGAAGGUUGUUAGUGCCCCCAAGGGCAGAGGACUGAACUCAGAGCAAGCAUGGGGCAACAGAAAGCUGUUCUCUGGUCCGUGAGGGUGGUGAGCGAUGCCUUCAGAUCCUGUCCGCAGGUCGCUUGGUGUGUCUGUAGUUAGCAUUGCGCUUAUAAUGGAAAUAACUGAUCUGACACUCACGUAGCUAAAUAUAAUUCGCACUUUUGAUGUAAGGUUGAAACAUGAAAGAUCAUGCUUUUCAAACUGCUCUGGUGACUUAUGUACAAUUCAUUUUAGGUAGUGGGGAGUUAAGCCUGCCGGCAUCUGAACAUUCUUCAGUCAUUUGUUGAAACACCUGCAGUUGGAUGCUAAUACGCAUGUUUAAUUGCUUGAAUUUAAAUUAUAAAAUCCCUAAAAGGAUGUUUUUAUCCUAGAAAAUAAGGCAGGUCCCUUGAAAAGACUAUCAGCCAGCUUUCAGGAGCACCUUGCCUUUCCCAAGACUUACGUGCUGGCCUUUCUCACGAGAAAUCUGCCCUGAAAUACAGGAAGUUUAGCUCUUCAGGGAAGGCACAGAUGUCUGAGCCAUCAGCAAAAUCACUGUUAGCAUUCCCUGGGAAGUCUGUCAUGUGAGAAUCAAGUUUAAUUCAGGAGCCUGUAGUUUAUCCGGGAUUCUUGAAGACAGUGAUUGGCACCAGUCAAAGGUCUGCUUUACCAGCCCAGAGACUGCCUUUAUUUUUAAACCCCAGUCAUUCACCUCUGCUCAUACUGACACUCUGCAGCCACAGAAGAUACCAGAAUGAGAUUACAAGAGCUCCGCAACAGAACAGGGUGCUCUUGGCUCGCGCCUUGUUGUUUGUCCUUCCAGUGGUUCCUAUCUGUUGUGACGUCAAGGCUGCCAUUCAAAGCAGGGAAAAAGGAAACCACGGCCUCUCUUCGCAUCAGUAGCCCGGACGGGCCGUUGUUUCUCAGGCAUCCCCAAAAUGCUCCACGUCUGGCAGAGCUGAGCAUUCCAUGCCUGGGUGACCUGGAUAAAUGGAGGAAACCGAAUGCUCCUCACUGAAUGCUCUCCAAAGCGAGCGUCCCCCACCCCUCCGAGGACUGUAAAUGAAUCGACAGCGUCGCCCGACAUCAUCCGCUUUUGCAUAUUCAGCUUCUAUUUAAGAGUCUACGAAGAGAGAAUGUCAUUAUCAGUGGCCCUCAUUAAUAUACGCUGCAGCCACAUCAUUAUGCUGCCUUCGGGGUCAGUGCUACAAACCCCUUUCUGGAAAACCAGUGCCGUGUUAAAAAUCUUUUGGAAUCAUAGUCAGACAUUCAAAACCGCUGAAUUGCCACCUCUUCCUUCUCAUCUCACCUCUGCUCACCCCAUUCCCAUUUCUGAUUCCUGAAUCCAGAAAGGCUCUUGCAGAUACUUAAAUAGUAAUUUUGCACUGAGCAUUACUGAGCGUGACGAUCCUUUUCAUGCAUAUGAAAAAGAAUCUCAACAAUAAUGUGUAGAUCACAGGCUCUGGAUUUUUCUGAAUAAAGAGUGACACCUUUUGCUUUUCAAAGGCGAGGAGCUAGUUUACAGUGUCACAGAACCGCUGUCUAUUGGGAACAAGCCAAGAUCCAUACAGAAAACAAGUCUUGCAAGGCUGAAAGCUCACUGAAUGUUCCGAUAACUUACGGUGAAUGCCUCAGCAUUUACGGACUUGAGACUCAGUCUCCCGAGGGCACGCCUUCUUGGGUUUCGUUCUGGCAUGGGUGACUGCAUCAUUUUAUUAGACUGUUGGAGAUGGACAUGAAAGUCACCAGAAGCAGCACAACAACCACACGUUGUAUUCUAGAGUUGUCUUGGUUAAGUCAAUACGCAUUCGAAGUUUUAUGUUACAGAUUCUAUUAAAUCUUUUCUCAAAAUAGCCCUUCUCUGAACCUUUGAUCGAGGGAUAUACAGAAACCCAAACCAUUUGAUUUUAUACGCAAAUGUCUAUAUACAUUUUAUGUCAGGAAGGAUCUUGAUACAGUGGGGCCUUUUUAAAGUGAAUUAUUAUAAGACAGAAUUCUUCCAGAUUAUAAACUCUUGUCUUCUGGAGAAAAAUCAUAGAGAUCUUGAGGUAACUGGAUAAAGAGGGACUGGAUGGAAUGAAUCUUGUAAAGUUAGGAUUUAUACUGAAAGUUUCCUGGUUUGGCCAAGACAAGCCGACUUGCCCAAGGGCUGGCUUGAUGCCAUAUGAUUGCCUUAUCUCUGCACCAUAAAUGCAGUGGUGGGAACGGGGCAUGGAGCUGAUGCGUGUGGCUUCUUCAUGGGUGCUUUGGACUAGGUAAGCCUGAGAAUCUUGAAAUAAGAGGAAAACAGGACCUUACUUGCUGUCUGUGGACUGGAGAAUUAGUCUUUUGUGGUUGUCGACUGCUACUUGCAUAUCAGUUAUCCUUUUAUUCUUCGUUUUGACAUUACUGCCAUCUCUGGGGGUCCAUAGUAUCCUAGAAAACCGUUUUAAGAGAAUCGACUUAAAACUGAAUCAGACAUUUAAAACAAACAGUCACGUUUUUUAAAAAAGAUUUUAUUGGGACUGCUAUUGGGAAGAGUUAAAGUUGAAUCUAAGAUUGUUUUACAUUCUAUAACAAAUUUGGGAUAUGAUGCAACAAUAUGUUAUUUCUUAGAACAAAGAUUGCAUGUUGACUUCUGCGGUAGAACCAUAAAGAGGGUGAUUUUUUUUGUAUAAGCAUUCAGAUUUUUGCCAAAGGCCUCUCUUAACCUUUCGGUAUACAAACCGUUCUCUCGAAGAGUCUACCUCUCAUGUAAAAUCAUCUCUGUUGACUUUUCCUUCCUCAUUUGUUAACUGUUCAAACUCUCUCUGAUCCUUACUUGUCAGUGACAGUGGGCGUGACUCAGGCAGUUCUCCGCUGUCACUGUUAUCCAUGUAAACCCUACAGUUUCACAUAACAGGUGAAGUACAUUGUAUUUGCAUUUAUAUUCCACGAUGCAAACCAACCAAGAAAGUGAGCGGGAAUAGAUGUUGAUGUUAAUGUGGGCUAGACAUUAAGUGAUCAUUUUAUUUUUCAGGGUUUUUACAUUAUGAUAUGUCUCAUGCUUUCUUAUGCAGCCUACAAACUACAGGGACUCAUAGAACGAUCACUCAAGAAAUUAGGGACUCCCCCCCCCCAUAUCGUGUUACAUUUAAAGCACUCAGUAUGGCUCGGGUGGGCUUUAUAAUCAACCACAUGCAGAUUUGUGUGCCAUUCCUGGCACUUACCUAGGUAAUAAAACCUUGGGUGAGUUAUUCACAGAACCUCAUAUUCUUUAUCUGUAGUGUGGAGUAAUAAAACCAAGUUGUGGAGUGAUCAUGGGGGUUAGAGCCCAGGCAUAUAAAACUCCUGGAUAAGACACAGAGCGUGCAGCUCGAGAAAUGAUCUCUGUUAAGGUUGCUGUUGCAUUUAUGCGACGCCUUCCGUUUUAGAUGAGACUUUCACAUUUAAUUCAGCCCCAAGAACUUAAAUUUUAGCAGAGUCACUGAAAAUUUUUAAGGUAUGCAGCGACCUGAGGAAACCAUAUUUUAGAAGAUUGUAUUUGGUGACUGCGUACGUCGCGGAGUAGGUGAUAUGACUUGGUAGCUGUUUUUUUUCAUGCUACAGAUGAAAACAGCUGAGACCCGAGAGAAUUAUCUAAAUUUCUCGGGAUUAUGUGGUUUGUAUCUGGCAGAGCCGAACGCAGAACCCAAUCUUCCUAUUCUUAACUGUGUUUUUCCACCACACAGUUGCUCCUUGGCAAGUGAACCAGUUAAAAAGGUUGUCAUAUUCGUCUGGGAACAAAGUGAUAAAGGUCCGGCAUGUUUAUUGGAAGCAGGACUCAGAGGGUAAGGACAAAGGCAGCAGUCAACUGAAAACAGUGCCGUUUAGACUUGGUGACAAUUGACCCAGCUCUGCUCCGUGAGAAAGGGAGUCAAGAGUCUAGACUUUCAAGCUUGGUCGAAUGGCCGUACAGUUAAUUAAACUUAUAAGUAGAAUGCGUUGGUUUUCUUGUUUCCUAAUGAGUUUAAACAAUUGCCCUGUCCUGAUGGAAAUGUGAAUAAUGGUAGGAGAACAAAUGUCUUUGUUACGGGAAGAGAUGCCAGAGCCAAAGAAAGAAAUUUUGAGACUCUUGUGCCAAAGAAGGAGCAUUGAAACCACUGUAACGUACAUAAGCAUGUGCACGCGCAUGUAUGUGCUUUAAACUGGACUUUGCGGCAGACUCCCAGAUUCAAGUCCCGAAUUCAAGACUGAGCCAUGUUGUUACUUGGUAACUUACUACCCAGUUAUAAUCACAAACUGUUUUACCUUUAUCAGAAAGAAGAGCUAUUCCCAUAGAUUCUUCUGUGCUUGUGUGUUUGUUUUAUUGGAUGGAUCCUGCUGUGGCACCGAGAGACAGACUUUGCUGGGCCCUAUUUUGUAAACAAAUCUGUUCAUACACACUUUCUUCUAUCAUCACAUGUGUACAUUGGCUCUGCUUUUCCCACUAGGCACAUGGAAGCCUAGGAAUUCAGAAGCUUGUUUUCUUUUAGGAGAAGGCAGGCACUACAGAAACGUGUGCACGUGCAUUGAAAACGUACACAUCUCCCUUAUGUAAGUUUUUGAAUCUUCAUGAUUCUAACCCUUGGCCAUGAGCUCUGUAAGUACGUUGCAGCUAAGUACACACACAGUACCCCUGGGAGGCAUCCUUAAAGCCACCACAAAGCUAUCGAUUGAGCUCAGUAAAUAUAAAGCAACCUAUUUUUACCCUUUAAAGUUCAUUCUUUUGGCCACUAGUGGGGUUAGUCGCCUAAGAUGCUAAAGCAUAAUUAACUGGUUUUUAUAAGAAGAGAUGGUUCAUCUCUUUCUUAGAUUAGAUUAUGAAGUUAAAAUAAUACAUACCUGGAGUUUUCUGCAUAUUUUGUUUAAUAUUUCAGUCAAGUUUAAGUUUCUAUGACAGGAAGUAUGUGAAUGGUUAUGACAGGAGUAAAUAACAUUUGAUUUUAUGAUUAUAGUACAGGAAGUAAUUUUUCACACUAAAUAAAGCUUUGGGGGUAAAAAAAGAGCCGGCUUAUAAAUUUAAUGUACAUAAAUUUCCCAGAAUUUCUGUUCUCUUACGUGGAAAUAAAACCAGGAUAUGAUCUUAUUUCUUUCUCUUCUGAAUUUUUCUUGUCAACAAAUGUCUUUGUUACGGGAAGAGAUAUUUUCGGGUGUUUUGGUGUGACCCAACAUGAUAAUGGAACCACUAAAAAAAUUCUAAGCAAAAAUAAUAAGGCCAAACUUUAUAGAAUAAAUAGCACGAAAAGCUUGAAGACCCUAAAUAGGAGCUUACUUUUUCCUUGAACAGUAAAAUGGCCACAUCAUUUACCCCCAGGUUCUAGUUAUUCCUGUAGCCAUGUUCAGUCAGCACGUGGGUGUCAGCUAUUCUUUAAUGAAAAGAAACGAACGAACGAAAAUAAAAAGCGCCCAGGAAAGACAAGAUGUUUAAUGUCAAAGAGUUUUCAUACAAGCAAGUUCAAAGACAAAACGAAUUGCAUAGAACUUCAGUUACGUUUAUCAUAUGCAGAACUUUAAUAGGAGCUUUGUUGUUCCCUGACUUAAAAAAAAAAGUUAUAGAAGAAAAGACUUUUUUCCUUCUUCUUUCUGUUUUCUUAAAGUUGGAGGAACUUGUAGUGGGAAGAAGAAUGUGUAACAGUCACUCAUUUCUGAGGACUAAUAUUACACAUCCAUGUGUCACGUGAAUGAGUGGGUGUCCGACAGUCAGAUUAAAAUGCCUGAGAAGCGUUUCGCAGUUUGGGGUGCAUUGGCAGCGGCCACAGGGCUGUGAGGCAGUGGUUAGGCGUUGUGCUGGGAGCUGUAGGAUGGAGGUUCAAAUUUAACUCUAGAGUGACCGUGAGCCGCACUUAAUUAACCCCACUGACUGAAAACAAGAUCUCUAAAUACCUCUAAAUCUCAGCAUCACAGAUUUGCAAAGAAGCAUUGUGCCCAGGGUGUGAAGCUGUUCCCGGAGAACAAACUAACACGUUAGAGUGACCUGUACUUACUUACUUUCCAUUAAUUUUCUCUCAAUUCCGCGUACCGUUUUGCUAAACAUGCACCUCAGCCUGAUGUGACACGGACGUGCUGUCGGAAGGCUCCGGAGCUGAAUGGUCAAAGUUAGGGUCCCCGGUUUGUCUCUUGGCUCCAUCAUCUACUGGUUGUGUGACCUUGGUCGAAUCCUUAAAUUCCAGGGGCUCAGUUUCCUUAUCUGUAGGAUGGGAUAGUAGUAGAAUUUAGCUUGUAAGUUUGCUGCGAGAAUUAAAUAGGCAGGUAUAUGUAUGGCGCUUGGUGGUGCCUCAGCUGCCCUGCAGGUCAGUUUGCUGUUAUCACUGUCGAUUAAACUGGCUUAACAAGGUUGAGCGAUGUUCACCAGAGCAAAGUGUAGCCAGAGGAAGAGUCAUAAUUCGAACACAAGGCCUUCUGACUUCCCAUGGUCUUCUCGUGUCAAGGCCACUCCCGCUCCCGUCUAUAAAAGUGCCUCUGAAGAGCACACUCCUUUUUACCGUUUGAAAGAAAACUUUGAGUAAACAAACAUCAGGAACAUUUGUGGCGGGGUUUUUAUUUUGUUGCAGUGGAGGUGGGGACCGCGCGGCCCCAGAGUUCUGGAAAGCAAAUGCCGAUUCUGUGAACUUGGCCUUGAAUGAUGUCCACAGCAUAGCAAAUUACAGCAAGAUCUGAAUAGUCUUCAUAGUUUAAUCACAUUCUCAAUACCCUACCUUAGGAGUUGCCCCUCUUAGCCCCUAAAUUAAGAAGAAUUCCUGAAGGGCAGCCGCUUCUUGGCCACGGACGGCCAUAACCACGCCCAUGACCACGCCCAUUGGGUUGAUGUUCUCUGUCCACUCCCCCACUCCAGGCACGUGUUCUGUGAUCUUUAUUCCCUUGCUCAGCUUCUCCUUUCUCUUUUCAAAACCUCUGCAUCGGCCACCCAGCACUCGAAGAAGAACUUUCCCGUAAAGCAGGGUCUGAAAGGGAACUAACUGCACAAAGCUCUGGAAGCUUCAAGCCCGUGUAUGAACAUGACGCAGCGAGAGAAAGAAGUUUCCAAUUCAGCAAGCGAGGAAGUGGGAUGUUCUAAUAUUUGAGUAGUGACCCUCACUUUUUCUUUCACCAAACUCAGUAUCGAGAGAAUUGUUUUUAGUCAUCGUUAUUUAACACCGCUCUCUCUGUACAGGGUUCCUGUCCUUUUGACAUUCUACAGAAUGUCCUUUUCUCCGUUGAGGGAGGUUCGUAAGGUCUUGGGAGUGAGGGCAGAGGGAUGGCUGCUGCGCAGAAUGGUUGGUUUGAAUGAAAUUCUUCACACCAGUUAUCGAUGCUAUUUUACUCAUCCUCGGUUUGAAGAUUCUAUUCGCGUCAUGCAAAUGGUUUCCGUGCUUGUCUUUUUAAAAUAUGAGUUUGGUAAAGAUUAUGAAAACAUAUUGCAUUAGCGAAAAUUUCCUUGUGGCGUAUAAAACAGAUGGUUUUACUUUUUACGUAUAUGCGUCAUAUUUAUCUUGAGUAUUCGCAAAUGGGAAAUAGAAGAGUUGGGGUAUAAAUGGCAAAGUGUUACCAUCUUAAAAAUUAAGGGCUUCAAAGUGCAGUGUAACAAACAUGGAUAUGCAUUCAUUUUAUUUGGUUUUAUUCUUCGGUUCCCAGUAAGUGGAAGCUCUGGUGUUUUCCUCCUUCCUUCCUGAGCUCCCCACCAUUCCUACCCAACGUGGAAGCACAGGAGCAGCCCUAAAAUAAAAGACAGACCUUUUGAAAGCUCUUACCAAAAUGUCUACUAGUCCCUUCAGAAAAAAUGAUCUGUGGCACCACUGUAUACUCUUCAAGGUGAGAUAAAAACUCAUACUCGUUUUGCCCAGUUGUCAAGAAAUUCUACUCUUCUCCGAUGUAAAUGUUCGGAUUCCAUUAAUGCCGUGAGAAAUACGAAAGGUCGUAUUUUAGCCCUUCUUGGCCAGUUUUCAAAGGGUGCUUCGGUGUGAAAGCCAUGCGACCAUCCGUUAACGUGACAGGGCCUUAUCAAAAAGCGUUUUUCUGCACCCGUCACAGACAAAUCUGAAGAAGUUCUUCUUCCAAACCCUGGGGAUGCCACUCAGAGGCUGUGGCUUCGGUGUCUCGGUGCUCAGUGGGGAAGAUGAUUUCCAUAUUUAAAAUUUGGGGACAAAUGAGAAUAACUCUCUUUGCCUUGAAGGGUUAAUGCUCUCACCAGCUUCAGAUUGGUUCACUCGAAUCUUAAAAUUACUUUUCUGGUCACGCGCACCGAAGGUCUAAGCAUUUGUGAAAUGUCUUUUUUUUUUCCCCUUUCUCCUGAUGCUGUUCUCUUUUGGCUGUCUUAAUUACACAGGGAUUGAGAAACCAAAUUAAAAUUAGGUGUGGCUGGUAAACAGUGAUCACGUUGCAUGCUUUUAGCUUUGCCUGUUGGGGUUGCUUGUCCUCGCUGUGGUGCGUUCCUCCCCGCUUUUUUUUUUUUUUUUUCCAAAGGAAAUAUCAUAAGCUCUUUUAGAAAUACUCACAGGAAGUGAGUAUCCAUAUGCUGGUUACUCGCCAGCGACUGAGCGCUGACAGGUGGAGAAUGCUGCCACAGCCCUCCCAGAUUUAUCUGCACGUUUCCCCCCAGAGGAUUAAAUUCAGGGUGUAUGGACCAAAGGGUAUUUGUGUGUGUGUGUGUGUGUGUGUGUGUGUACUGAGUCCCCUACGAGAGGAAAUUGGUCAUUGUGUGUCAUCUUGAGGCACGGUGAUUCAAGGAGCUGCAAUGGGGUCCGCAAGGCACGUGGCUGCCAUCUCUGAGGGUUUUGCUCCCUUCUCAGAGAGCAGGCUGCCUUCUCAAAAUUAAUGCUCCCCCCACGGCCAACGAUUCUUUUGCAAUGAAUCACUUCCAGAAAUGAAUAGCCACAGUUUUUUGGAAUGAAUAUUGUGAAAUCCCUCGUUUAUAGUGGCAGGUUUUCAGUUGGUGGUUUUUAUCAGAGAGAAUUUCUCAAGAUCAAAACGAAACCUCUUCUUUAAAAAGAAAGUACUCUCGAUACAGAAAGCAAAAGUAUUUCCAGCCUCCUACUGAAGAACUGUCACAGAAGAUCUCCGUACCUAGAUUUAGAGAUACAUGUCUGUAUAUCUGCCCGAAUGAGUGAGUUCUUGGAAUUAUGGAUUCGUUGCUGGUAGCUGGUGAUUUCCUAGGCGGAAGGUCGCUAACUACAGGAAACGUUAUAUGCGGACAAGUCUGGCCUGUGCUUGAGAGGGUCCUUUGUGUGACUGCUCGGUGGUUUAAACGCUUACAUUUGCUGUCCAGAAAGAGUGAACUGCCUGUCAGCGCCACAUAGGAUGUGCAUUUCUGUGCAGCUGAAGAGCGAUUACAUCUCUGAUGAACUGAUUGCUACACGUCCCUGUGGCCAUGGGGUUCUACUCCCUCAUUUACAGAGGUGAAAAAGCUAGCCUGGCGCAGCAGACACAUGCGAUGGAUGCUCUUCCGUUCCAAAGGAUGAGUUUGUGCUGGGAAAUCCUUAAGAAGAGAUGACUGGCCAAGGCUCUAAGGAAAUUCAUGGGGAUUUUGGUUUUGAUGACAGAGACCUAGAAAAACAUGGCUGGGAUCGACGAUCGCCUCGGAUCACAGGAAAGGAGCAGCGAGGGAAGAAACGGCACCCGGGACGAGAGGCGUACGUGGCCCGAUCUGCGAACAUUCUCCUGCCUGGCUCUGGGGCUCACCCGCAGUUAACCAGAUUGUUCGUUUUCUUAAAAGGCAAGCCAGGCUCCAGGGGCUAGAAGCUCAGCCUGUCAAGGCACGUGAGGAAAAGUGACACAGGUAACUAGAUUUCCGUGUCUAAGACAGAACUAAAUUAAUUCAUUUCAGUUCAGUGUAGAAAGCGAGGGGAAGAAGGCAGGAAGUUAUCCUUGAACUGUUAUCCUGAAUUAUACCUUCUUACUGUGGAAGGGAAGUCAUUCCGUUGAAAACAAUACUGAGUUUUCCGGGUCCACGCAAGGAGGCGGAAAGGCUUCGGGGGGCGCUCUCAGCUGCUCCACCUCCCAGGGGUCAUAAUGCUGCUUCUGCCCACAGGGACCGAUUCAGCCAAAGGUCGCCCUGCCCGCCCCCCGCGGUCUCCACGUGGCAUCCUGGAGCAUGGAAGGGGCACCUGCUGGAAUUCCAGGCCUCGCCCUUCCAUUUUCUCCUUGGCCCGGAGAAGCCACAUGGCCUAACGAUGAUAUUUACCCGGAGUAACACAGCUCAGGCCCCCAAUGCCUCUACCCCCGUCACACCCACAUCUGCCCUUUGAGCCUCCUACUUCUCAUUUGUCUGAAAAGCCCUUUUUCUGUAGCCCUCAUAUUGUGCUGACCAUGCCAACUAAAAGAAUUAGGAUCUGGUCACUUCUUCUUUUUCUGCUCUAUGGUUAUUCUUUCCCCAAAACUCUGCUGCUUUCUCACCUGCUCUGUUCGCCCCGAGUAAUCUUACUACUUUCCUGGUUCCAUCCAGAUACCCCCACAACUUGCUGAUUUCCUCCAAAAUAGAGCUCUAGCGACAGAAUUUUUUUUCCACAACCGGUUAUUUCCAUAUUUUCAGUAGUUUCUAGAUAGUAUAACCCUGCUGUUUUAAACCUGCCUGAAUUUAAUACGCCAAAACCAUACCCGUUACCUUUUCCCCAAAACCAGUUCUCCCUGUCUGUCCCAUGCUCAAAGCUGAACCUAUUAGAAUUGUGUGACUUCCCUCUUCCCUACCCCAUCCCGUCCACACUCACCAAGUCUUGUUCUUUCUUAACUACGUCUUUUAAACCCCACACUUUUCUCUGUACCCUCAUUAACCUCCUAGGUGCCUCUCUUGCCCCACCUCUCACUUAGUUCAGAAUGUGUGUUGCCACCAAUUAUCUUUCUGAAACGUGUGCUAUUGUUCCUUCUCCAUUCUUCACGUCUCCAGCCAAUGCCCCCACCCCCGCCUCAGGUUUUCUGAGCUCAGCCAGCCGCCCGUGCCUGCAGGCCCACCAGGAACCUGCACAUUCUUGAGCCUGUGUAGGAACGAUUUCCUCCACCGGAAUCUCCUCUCUCCUCCCCUUCCUCAGCCUUGGGCUUAGAGGGAUGGUGGGUGACAACAGCACCUACUAUGUCCCUUCGGUUCGCUCGCCUACACGUGCAGGGUCCUCUGCAGAGUCUGUGGCAAGCGUUCCUUACAGGCCGCUGCUUCCAUUUUUCAGCCACUUCCUAGUUUCUCUCCAUUUUCGUUUGCCAAGGGCGUGAGAAUGAAAACCGCUUCCAACGAUGACCUCAGUUAAACAGGAGAAAGUAAAUCUGCCUCAAAGGGCACGUGUCCCUUUCUGAAACUUUCAAUAUAAUAGCGAUAUAUCAUCCACUGUGGAUCAUCCAGCUGUUUUCUUCUAUGUGCACAAGUAAUUAGGAAUUGAUAGGCUUGAUGAGUUUAAAAGCUAUGAGAAUAAUAAUUAUUGAAGGAUUGCUGUCCCCAUUGUAGAGAAGAGCAGAUAGGCACAACACUCAAAAAGCCAGUAAACUUAACGCUAAGGAGACUGAAGCCAUUAAAAACAGUCCCUUACAGUUACUGAGUGCCAACCACAUGCGUGCUCACCACCCAUCCCUCUGAACGGCUCUGCGUGGGCAGCCUUUCCCCUGCGUUAAAGACGAGGAAAUAAAAGCACAGAAAAGUUACGUAACUUGCCCGGGAUUUCACAGCUUGUCCACGUGGGAGUUUGAAUUCUAAAUCAGAUAAUGCACAAUCAUGACGAGGUUAACAGCCGCUAACACUGAGCUGCUACUUCAUGCCACUUGCUAAGGAUUCUACAUGAUGUGUCUCAUUUAACUUUCAAAAUUGUCCUAUAGAGUAGGUAUUAUUAUCAUCAUUCCCGUUUUGCAGAUGAGAAAACAAACUGAGAAAAAUUAAGUAAUUUGCUCAUGAUCAUGUAACUUUAAAGCUUUUAUGCAGGAGCGGGAGCCCACACCUGUCUGGUUCCAGUGCAGAUAAUUUUAGCGCUGUCCUUUUCAUCGUGGUGGAUACGAUGGUGGGCAUACUCGUCCAUAGGCAGCCUCUAAAAUGGGCCCCACUGAUCCCCACAUACCAUCUCAGGCCCUGUGGGAUCCGCUCCCUUUGGGUGUGGGCUGGACCUAGUGAUUUGCUUUUCACAGGUAGAAUGAAUAUGUCAAAGGUGAUGGGAUGUCACUUCUGAGAUUAGGUUACAAAUAGACUGUGAUUCUAUCAUGCUUGUGUGUGUGUGCACACUCCCCCUCCCCCCACACCCCACCUCAUCUAUCCAUCCAUCCAUCCAUCCAUCUAUCAUAUAUCUAUCUAUCUAUCUAUCUAUCUAUCUAUCUAUCUAUCGUCUAUCACCUAUCAAUCGUCUGUCGUCUCUCUGUCUCUCCCUCCCUCCCAUGUUGGGAAUGGCCCAGUAGAGAGACCCCAAUGGCAAGGAACUGAUGUCUUCAGGUGGCAGCUCACGAGGACCUGAGGUCUGCCAAAAGCUCCAUGAGUGAGCUUAGAAAUGAAUCCUCCGCCGUGAGCCUAGAGGUGACUGCAGCUUCAGCCAAAACCUUGACUGCAUCCCGUGAGCCCCUGAGCCAGAGGACCCAGUGAAAUUGUGCCCAGAUUCCUGACCCAUGGAAAUUGUGACAUAAUCAAGUUCCUGUGCCGAUCCUGGCCAAGUCACUUGGACUUUCUGGAUUUGUUUUCUUUUGUAUCAAUUUAUACUACUAGAAUUUUACAAUGACUUAAUCGUGUACUACAGCCACUUAAUAGGUGUAAACAUUUGCAAUACAAAACUCUGUGUAAGAGAGUAAUAUAACUUUCUGUUCUCUAAUUGCCUACACAUUUAGCCGCAUGAUUUUGCACCAUUCUCAAGUGACCCUUGUAGUACGGUCCAUAUAAAAUAAAACUUUCAGGUAAGAAGAAUGAUGUUGCUUGAAGGAGAAAGGGCCUCCUACUUCUACGUGUACUCUCCUGGUUGAAUUUUUAAAAUAGGGUAUAUGAAUGAGAAAAUCAGGUGACUUAGGAGAAAAUGACAAGUAGCUAAGCUUUGGAUAAAUCCUUAAAAGCCAUUAAGUGAGACAAGAUUUAAAAAUCUUGAGGACCUACCAAAAAAAACCCAAAUAAGCCAUAAAAAAAAAAAAAAAAAGUGGAACAACAGAAACAAACUCUGAAAAUAACGCACACAGGAGAGCUUGAGUCUUGGUGGCCAUGGGCCACUUUGGCUUGACCCUGAGGGGUCUCCUUUGUAGCCGGAAUGACUCACCUCGUUUUCAAUACUUGACUACUGGAAAAGAAAAAAAGAAAAAAACAAAUACAACAGACAAUAGAAGAUGUUGCAGAAGGAGGGAGAAAUGACAUGUAAUUGGGGAAGAAAGCAAAACACAGCGUAACCUCAGUCAUAACACAUUACCUCUCAGAACUCUGAAUUCAUUACGUUUUUUGCACUUGUCUACUUUGAAAUGAAAGUGUCAGAUGCCGAGAAAGCAAGCUAAGUUUACUGAAGAACUAUAUGCAUAAAUAUUUCUACUGCGAUAUUUCGAGGUCAGCAUAUAAUUUCUGUCUAUUGCGUCUAGAAUAUAAUCUUGGCUAUUCACAACGAUGACCGAUCCUCAGAUACCGUGGAGACCGUAAGUCGCUGAAGGCUUCAAAUGCAUUCAUCAUGCUAUGCUUAGGAACGCCAGUAAGAAUGUAUAAAUAUGUUGCAGAGACUUUAUAAGUAAUUCUCACUUAGCCGAAAAUGAAAUAAAAUAUGUAUACCAUA